UGAUGAUUGUUCCUCCUAUUGUCUAGAGUGCUGGCACUAGGAUGUUAGGUUAUCAUAAAUUAAAAUUUGAUUUUCUUCACUCAGAGAAUAUUGUGAUAAUGGGAUUAUCUGCUUGUUCUCUAAAAUUUGCAGAAUCAAACAUAU